rnacentral:lncRNA from 1 species
AAUAGGGCAUAGCAAUCUAAAUAAUACCUUGCAGAUGGUGGGGAAUCAUGUCAAUGGAGAGUGUGAUGAAUGUAUGUCUGUGGAAACAGUAGAGCAUGUGUUGAUGGACUGUGGAAAGUAUGUUUGUGAAAGACAGGUGAUGAUUGAGGAUUUUAAGAGGAGGGGGUUCCAGAUAACGGACGUAAGGGGUAUAUUGUCCAGGACGGGAGAGGACAGGAGACCAUUAUGGAAAUUUCUGAAAGUGACGGGGCUGUUUAAGAGGAUUUAAGUGGCGACCUACAGGGGGCAGCAAUGCAACAAAUUUGGAUGCCGGCUGCCAUUAAACUUCACAGAGAGAGAGAGAGAGUCUGCGUGAAGCGGGAGGAGCCGUUAUGAGACUGCUAAGCUUUUGGUGGAGGAACUUUGAAAAAGGCUGCAUGGAAGAAGCUGGUAUCGAUGUUACUGAGAUUGGAGCUCAAAUACUCAAAGUUGUGAGGAAGUGGACCGACUUUAUCCAGCAGUGAGAAAAGUGCAGCAUCGCUUCAAUACAUCUUUUCUGUGAUGUGCCUGGAAUGGCUAAAGAGGAUUCUCCACUCUACCUGGAGGCAACAGAGGAGGGUCUAACUCAUUGACUGUAAAAAACACUGACAAAACAAGCAAUGAGGUCUCGCAUUGGAAAUGCAUUACCUCCUCUCCUCGCGAAAGUAGGCCGCCGCUUUCACCGUCACUUCCUGAAACGGCUAUCGCCAUUUUGCAAACAAUCAUCAGCGAUUGGUCCAAGUCUCUGUGAGUCAUGGAAUCUAUAGGAAGUACCUUCAACCAAUCUUAGGUCUCCCUGGUUACAUGCAGCUUGGGAGCAGUCCUUGGUGUUCCAGCAGGAAUCGGUACUCACCUCAUCAUCUCAGCUGCCAGAUGGUUGCCUACCUUUGGAAUCCUUCAACCACGAGUACCAAUAACCAACCAUCUCUGGAUCUCUCCGCUCAGCUGCCUCACAGCCACAGACUCAGCUCUGCCUGCUCACCGUGUCCUCCAGCUCCAGAAGGACAAAGGAACGCCACUCACCUCCCCAAACCUUGGACACCAUCUGAAAACCCCGAUGCAGCCUCUCCUCUCCUCUCUUCGUUCUCAAUCUCUCUCCACCACCUCUGCCUGCACGCCCACUCCGGAUUCUGA